GGGCUUCUGUAAACCCAUAAUCCGUUGGAAAUAUUCUAAAAUAAAGUGGCUUUUACAAAGUUUUUUUUUUUUUCUUAACUUAAAAAUUGCAAGAUUAAGGAAACUUUCUUGGGCUCCAAAAUUUAGCUUUUUUUAGUGGUUGUCCUCAUUUCAAAUCUUCCACUUCUUUUUUUUUUUUUUUUUUUUUUUUUUUUUUUUUUUUUUUGCUUUUGUAUUAUUAUUACAGAUUUCCAGUACAUCUUCUAAUGCCUCCUUGGGCCUUUUCCUCUGUAGUCCAAUCAAUGUGUGCCAUAAAAAAAAAUUUUUUUCCCCUCCUGAAUCCCCUUUUUAUUGAAUUAAUGUUCCUGGGACUUUGAGAUUUACGAAAACUCCCAAGCCCAGAAAAAAAAAACAAAAAAAACAAAAAAAAAACCACGUUGGAUUAUAAAGGGAACCAUCUUCUGCAGACUAUUUUUUUUCUUUUUUUGCAACCUUCUCUCAGCACGUGGAGAAUGCCCUAUACGCUCCGUUGCUAAAACCCUUGAAAUCUGUCUGUAAAAAAUUACAUCCGUAUCCUAUCCACAAAGGAAACAUUUGAGCCCAAGAACAACUCCUUUUCCUAGUUAAAAUUCACCUCAUUCACACCUGAGGAUGUCAGUGUUAGAAUUAUCAAAGACCCGUGUUGUAGCGCCAUCUGUCAUCCAGAAAUGGAAACAGGGGAGGAGGAUAAAAUUAAGUUGCAGAGACCCAGGCUCCCAGCAGCUGCUUAAGAUGGUAAUAAUUAUUGUGAGGAGAGGAAUCAAGAAUCCAAGGAAUCACUGAUCAGAAAUUGGAGGCACAUUAGGUUAAGGAACUUGCCCCAAACCACAGAGGAAAUGGCAAGAUUGGGAAAUCAGCCCAGGCUUCCAUACUUCACAUAUCUUAUUCCUCAGUAUGAAAACAAACUGCCAACAGAAUGAACUCUGAGACCUGGGCUUUUCAAGGACAAAGACUCAAGACGUUGGCCUCAAAAAUAGUUGCCACCCCUGACCUUGAAUGGAAGAACUGUGUAUUUUACAAAGGUCAUGAUCCACUCUGUUGGAAGAAGGGAUGUACUAGGAUGAAAAAUGUAAGAAGAUGUGUAUAUCAAAGUUGAUGAAACUUAAAACUGAUGUUUGAAGUGGUUUCUAAAAAGAGCAAUAAUUUUUGAGAGGACUCUUGGAGAAUGCAUAGUUAACUUGGAUCCAGCAAGGUGAGAUUCCCCUCGAAGAAGGAAAGAAUGGGUGUAAAAGAGGUGGGAAGGAGCCCUAUGUGUCACAGUGAUUUACUAAUAGACUGGAGGCCUGGGAAGGAGCAGGACUCACACUGUGGUGCUGAAUCCCUAGGGGAGCGUAUUCAGAUUCAAAUCCUAUUCAUAUUUGCAGAAAUAGGGGGAUUAUAGUGAAGGUAGCAAGACUAAAGAUGAGAGAUGAGGGAAAUUGAAAUAGCCUUUUUUUGGUUUUAAACUUCAGUUAAAAGAGGACUUCCUCUGUCUCUCUCUAUCUGCUGCACUUGAGGAAGGUCGGGGGGAUAAGCACAAAUCAAGCUUCCACAAUCUCUGAGAUUUCAGUCCUUGGAGAUUUAGAAGACUAAACUGUGGGUAGAGUGCUGUGCUUAAGAAUUCCCAGGACAGGAAUCAGACCUGGAAUGGGACACAGGGAAAGUCUCUUGGGGGAGCACGUCUGAGGAAGCGCUCCUGUAAGGAGCAGUGAAGGAAAGAGAGGGAGAGGAGAAACAAGUCUGUCCUUGACAGGAUGUGAAAAGGCCAAUACAUUUGCGGAAAACAUGGGGAAGAGAGACUUGUGAAGAUGUCAGGGGUGUGAAAGACAGAGCUUGGUGGGACUGGGCAGGUGAGAGAGGGAAGGUCUAGAAGGAGACAGGGAAGCCCAUAGAGGCAGCCCUGUGUGUUGAGGAAUUUUGAAAGUCUGGGUCUUGGUCCUUGACAGUUAUCCUAAGCUUGUGAGGUCCGCCUGCGGGGAGACCAAACAGUGAUGAUGAUCCCUAUCCACUGGGGAGAUCUCUAAGAGUGGAAGGCCGAGAGGUUUCUGUUUCC
ensembl:lncRNA